rnacentral:rRNA from 1 species
UAGGGGAAAAAUUAAUAAAGAAUAAUUAUGAAAAAAAUUUUUAAAAAAAUAUUUAGGGGGGUUUAAGUAUUUAUAUAGAAAAAAUUUUUUAAUUUAUAAAGAAAUAGUAUUGUAAAAGAAAUUUGAAAAAUAAUGAAAUAAAAAUUUAUAAAAAAGUAAAUUUAAAUUAUUGUAUCUUGUGUAUCAGAGUUUAUUAAAAAAAUAAUUUGGGAAAAUUAAUUUCGAAUUUAAAAGAGAUAAUUAAUUAAAAAAGUUAAUGUAACAUAAUUAUUUUAAAUAAUUAAUUGGAAAUGAAAAGUUAAUCGUUUUUAAAGAUAUCUAGUUUUUUCAGAAAAAAAUUAAAUUUUAAAUUAAAUUUUUAUAUUAAUUUAAUAAUUAAUUAAUAUAAAAUUUAAUUAAAUAUUUUAGGGGAUAAGCUUUAAAUUAAAAAUUUAUAAUAAAAAUAAAAAUAAUUGAAAUUUUUAAAAUUUAUAUUUUUUAUAAAUUAUAAUUUAUUAUAAAUAAUUUCAGUUAAUUAAAAUUUUAUAUAAUAUUUAAUUUUUUAUGAAAAAAUAAUUUUUAAUAAAAAAAAAAUUAGAAUUAAUGAUAAAAUUAGUAUAUAAAUUAAAAUUAUAUAAUAAGUUAUUAUAAUUAAUAAAAAGGAAUUCGGCAAAAAU